rnacentral:rRNA from 1 species
GUGGGGAAUAUUGGACAAUGGGCGAAAGCCUGAUCCAGCCAUGCCGCGUGUGUGAAGAAGGUCUUCGGAUUGUAAAGCACUUUAAGUUGGGAGGAAGGGCAGUAAGCUAAUACCUUGCUGUUUUGACGUUACCGACAGAAUAAGCACCGGCUAACUCUGUGCCAGCAGCCGCGGUAAUACGAAGGGUGCAAGCGUUAAUCGGAAUUACUGGGCGUAAAGCGCGCGUAGGUGGUUCAGUAAGUUGGAAGUGAAAUCCCCGGGCUCAACCUGGGAACUGCUUUCAAAACUGCUGAGCUAGAGUACGGUAGAGGGUGGUGGAAUUUCCUGUGUAGCGGUGAAAUGCGUAGAUAUAGGAAGGAACACCAGUGGCGAAGGCGACCACCUGGACUGAUACUGACACUGAGGUGCGAAAGCGUGGGGAGCAAACAGGAUUAGAAACCCUGGUAGUCC